rnacentral:rRNA from 1 species
ACGUUCCGAAAGGAACGCUAAUACCGCAUACGUCCUACGGGAGAAAGCAGGGGACCUUCGGGCCUUGCGCUACCAGAUGAGCCUAGGUCGGAUUAGCUAGUUGGUGAGGUAAUGGCUCACCAAGGCGACGAUCCGUAACUGGUCUGAGAGGAUGAUCAGUCACACUGGAACUGAGACACGGUCCAGACUCCUACGGGAGGCAGCAGUGGGGAAUAUUGGACAAUGGGCGAAAGCCUGAUCCAGCCAUGCCGCGUGUGUGAAGAAGGUCUUCGGAUUGUAAAGCACUUUAAGUUGGGAGGAAGGGCAGUAAGCUAAUACCUUGCUGUUUUGACGUUACCGACAGAAUAAGCACCGGCUAACUUCGUGCCAGCAGCCGCGGUAAUACGAAGGGUGCAAGCGUUAAUCGGAAUUACUGGGCGUAAAGCGCGCGUAGGUGGUUCGUUAAGUUGGAUGUGAAAGCCCCGGGCUCAACCUGGGAACUGCAUCCAAAACUGGCGAGCUAGAGUACGGUAGAGGGUGGUGGAAUUUCCUGUGUAGCGGUGAAAUGCGUAGA